CCCGAAAACUGUCAACAUCAUGAAGGAUAGCUUGGUCAUUUGACAUUAUGGGCUGGUGCUGAGUUGGCAGGUAAAAAAGUUAAAUGAAACGUUGCGUUUCACUGUGUGGCUUAGGAUCUGUGUGUGGGAUUUCAAAUUUCGAAACGCUCGAGUUAACUUGCUGGCUUAGGAUCGUGUGUGGGAUUUCAAAUUUCGAAAUUUCGAGCUAGGGUUAGGAUUGAGAGAGAACGAGAGAUAACGAGAGAACCAGAGAGAUCGAGGGAGAAAACACAAACCCUACUCCAUUGCUGCCACCGGAGGCUGGACGUGAUAGGAAAAGUUUGUACCAGCGAAGGUGUAGCCGAAGGCAAAGUUCGUACCGGACGUGAUCGAUGUGGAGCGCGGAAGUGUCCUUGUGGAAUCAGCUCUUACGAAAUUAAUUGUUUUGCAUGUAUUACCCUAUGACAUAACUCUGAGGAAUAUUGUCAAGGUUUUUGGAAGUGAUAUUGGGGGCCCAACUGAUGACCUAGUACGUCUAUCAAUACCAAUUGAUACCAACAAGCCUCCAACACGCUCCGUUGAUGACAUUCUAUCGAAAUUGAUUCCACCUCUUCACAAACCUCAAGGCACUGGAUGAAAGAAGAACAAUAUAAAUGCAACAACUUUAAAACUUUCAUAAUUUCCUUGCCUGUAUUUCAGAUUUAUCGUUGUUGUUUGUUGUCGAAUAUUG